GGCCUUAUAGUUAAAUGGAUAUAAUAACUCUCUCCUAAAGAGUAGUUCCGGGUUCGAUUCCCGGUGGGGCUACCA
rnacentral:tRNA from 1 species